GGUGGAUGUCUAGGUUCCCACAACGAUGAAGAACGCAGCGAAAUGCGAUACGUAAUGCGAAUUGCAAGACCUCGUGAAUCAUUAAGAUUUUGAACGCACAUUGCGCUUUCGGGAUUUUCCCGGUAGCAUGCUUGUCUGA
rnacentral:rRNA from 1 species